rnacentral:miRNA from 1 species
ACCUGUGUGUUCCAUUCUGUGUGUGUGUGUGUGUGUGUGUGUGUGUACGCGCGCGCGCACACACACACACACCCGCACGCCC